rnacentral:rRNA from 1 species
GACGAACGCUGGCGGCGUGCUUAACACAUGCAAGUCGAACGGAAAGGCCCUGCUUUUGUGGGGUGCUCGAGUGGCGAACGGGUGAGUAACACGUGAGUAACCUGCCCUUGACUUUGGGAUAACUUCAGGAAACUGGGGCUAAUACCGGAUAGGAGCUCCUGCUGCAUGGUGGGGGUUGGAAAGUUUCGGCGGUUGGGGAUGGACUCGCGGCUUAUCAGCUUGUUGGUGGGGUAGUGGCUUACCAAGGCUUUGACGGGUAGCCGGCCUGAGAGGGUGACCGGCCACAUUGGGACUGAGAUACGGCCCAGACUCCUACGGGAGGCAGCAGUGGGAAAUAUUGCACAAGGGGCGGAAGCCUGAUGCAGCAACGCCGCGUGCGGGAUGACGGCCUUCGGGUUGUAAACCGCUUUCGCCUGUGACGAAGCGUGAGUGACGGUAAUGGGUAAAGAAGCACCGGCUAACUACG